GCGAGAUAAAGUACUAACAACAACAACAACAACCUAGUAAAAUCCCAAAAGUAAGGGGUCUGGGGAAGGUAGUUUGUACGCAGACCUUACCCCUACCCCCGUGGAGUAGAGAGACAGUUUCCGAUAGGCCUUCGGCUUAAGAAAACGAAAAAGACAAAAGAGACAAUAUAUCAGUAUCAUCAACAGAAACCAUAGAAAUAAUAAAAUAUUAUAAGAAACCAAAAAAUAGUUGAAACGCAAUACAAUAACCAGUAAAGAAAAACGGGAGUAAAGAAAAACGGGAGAAUAGUGAGAACACAACAUAGCAAGAUAAAGUACUAAUAUAUAGAUAUAAGGUUGAUGAAAGAGUAUGGUGUUAGAGAGUAGUGGAUUAAAGAAUUUACAAUUGGACCAUUGAUCUUAGAGACGCCUUUAUCAGUUUGGAAGAAUGACAUAGAAUUAAUGAUAGAAAGCAAGGAUGGAAAACUUGCGUCUUGUAACCUUCUUAUUACGAAAGAAAUUAAGGAGCUUGGCAUGUCUGGUAUUAAACUCACAUUGCACGUUGCUCUUUGCAAAGAGAGCUUAAUUUCGAUCAAGAGAGAGAGAGAGAGAGAAGUGGUCAUAGGUGAAACUCAAAUACUUGAUGUUGUAAAGUUGGCUUGUUGACCCAUAUGUAUUUGGUAAUCUACUGCAAAAUAAUGAUAAUUCUCUUCUGAAUGCUUCUUAUUUGUGAUUAUCUUGAGAAGUUGAGAUAGUAUGUAAUUUAUGAAUUCUAAAACAGUGGACAAUAAUCAGUGCAACUUACAUGACAUUCAUGUUGAGACAGAUGAACGUGGUAAAUGUUCUUUUGUGUCUCCCUCCCUCUCUUUCUUCACAAAAAGAAAAAAGAAAGAGAGAGCUCCACCUUUCUCGUCAAAAACUUGUUCGUUUUACCUCUUUUCUGCCUUUGUUGGCCUCUCGAAGAGCUGGAACUCAACUUACAUAUUUUUACCCAAAUCCUGACAAAAAGAAAAAAAUCAUCAAGUUGAGACAAGAUAAUCAUACUUAAUAACACUAUAUGGUGCUGAAGCUUCCUGAGGUUAAUUAGUUGGGGGGAAACUUCAAUAUUUUUAAUAGGUAGAAAGCAAAUAAUCUGUCACAUGUACCUUUGACUUGUAUUAGAGCUCUGCAUUUAAGGAGGAGAAAUAACUUUUACACAACUCAGCAAACAGAUCAAAGCUCAACAAUGAACUUGUGAACAACCUCCUCCUCCUUGCUCAACUCACUGGAAAAGGAAAAGAACAAGAUUAUAUGAAUUGCUAUAGCGAUGAAACUUCAAGCAAUACAUGCACUACAAAAUCUUCAAGCAAGAUUGGUUCAUAUUCGAAAGACUAUGCACAUUCAGGCUGACAUAGCUACGUAUCUUCAUGGUAAAAUAUUUCUAGUUUGUUAAUAUUACAAUUUGCUAUCAACGUUCUAGAGCAAACUAUUAAUUCCUACCAAUACUCUUUUUCAGAAUGUAUAAAUAUCUCUGUAGUUGAAAUGUAUCAUCUUUGUUGUAUUUAACAUUAAAUUUCAUCUCGAAGUUAAGAUGCUUCCUCUGCUUCACAGUGCAAUAGACGCUACACACUGCUCAACAAGAUUUAACAAGUAAAAAUAAUUUCAAGAAAACAAAGAGAAGUAGCAAAAAUAGAAAAGCAACUGAAGGAGAGAAUAACUUACCUCUAUCACAGUACCAUUUGAUUUAACCAUUAUAUGCAUUCCUCGUUGAUUCUUAUGGUGGAAAUUUGAGCUCUUUGUGACCAGCAUUCCCUCUUCUUAGCCAGGAUUCCCCCUUCUUAAAUUCUAGACGUGGUUAUAGGCAACGAACUGGAAGGGACUUGAGAUUUGGACAAUUAUCGAUGAGCUGGAGGGAGGAGGGAAGCUAUAAACUGAAAUCAUUUUCAAAAUAGAGCAAAGAGAUUAGUCAAUCAUACCAUGUACUCUUAUCAAAUCCCUGACAAAGUAGAAAAAAUAUAAUAUUAUCCUUAAUUUGCUAAAACUCCAUUCUAGAGAUGAUAAUUCUAAUAACAUAGGUACAAAACUAAGAAUCCUAUAUAAGAUGAUCAUAACAUACAUACAAACUAAAAACCGCUGUCCUAUAGGAGUAAAACUAUCAUUUCAUGCUCAUCAAGUUCCUGAUGACAAGUUUAUCAUCCAUCCCAGGUUUAGGCUAGAAGGAAAGGAAGAAAUACAAACAAAAGAAAUUAUCAUCACAUGAAUGCUGAAAGGGCACACACUUUAGCUAUCACUUGGCCAAAUUUACACUUACAUUUAUGAAAUAAGCAAUCUAACUAUGAAAAUAUCUUAAGCCUAAUGACUGCCAACUCAUAACAACAGAAGUUCAUUUUUUUUAAAAUUUUUGGAUGGUUGUCCGUGAUUAUACACACACACAUACAUUGGAAUAUAGUUUCUAUAUGGGGCUUUAGCAUAGAUCUCUACAUUUAAUGACGAGCAAAACAUCACACAGUAGGAUGAAUCAUUCUUCUUAAUCAAGAGCAGAGAGCUACAUCAUUCAGACAUACCAUCAAAUUUGUUUCUUUCUAGUUUUUACUGGAAAUGAAACUUCGCACGGUAGGAUGAAUCAUUCUUCUUAAUUAAGACAAGAUCACGUUGAUCAUGGUUUGGUGUAACUAGAAAAUAGUACAAAUACUUACUUAUUUGGACAAAAUAUCAUUUCUGAAGUUGUCAAACAUUGCAUUUGUGAUCUGUUAUGAUAUUUUGGAAAGAAAACCUGAAAGUCAAGUGAAAUUUUUUAAGCUAAGUAGUUUGUUCGAACAAAUAAAAGUUAACAGAGCCAAGCCUCAAACUACUACCAAUCUAUGCUGAAUAAUCCACUGUAAAAGAAGACAGAGCAAAACAAGUUAUAUAAAUUGUGUAAUAUGUAAAGCUUAGUCAACCAUUUAAUUUGGACAAAAUAUCAGUUUCAAUAGUUAAUAGCAGUGGAUAUUUAAUUGAUAUAGAGAAUGACUACGCCUUUUCAUUGAUGCUUGAAAUUCGGCAUAGGAAAAACUCCGGUAUAGAAAAUUACAUAAUAUUUCCUUCUGACUGAUGAAAGAGAAGUAAUGCUGGCAAAAUUCCACACAAAAGAGAGGUAUGUUUCCUCACUUACACUCUUCUGACAGACCACUGUUGAGGUGAUUGCCUAUUCAUAAAGAAUGUCAGCACAACAUUGUUUUCAUCAACUGAGCAAAAAGGCUGGCAAUUGACGCUUUGCGCUGCUCUACAAGAUUAACAAAGAAAAAGAAUUACAAACAAGCGAAGAGAAGUAAUGAAAUAUAAAGCUGCUGAAGAAGUGAACAACUUACAUCUAUCAAAGUUUUUGGCCACUACUCUCCUUUCUCAAAUUUUAGACACGGUUUGAGCAAUGGGCAGUUGAAAAUACAGAUGGAAGAGGGCAUUCCCUUUACUGGAAGAGAUUGAAGAUUAGGACAACUCUGACUUGAUGAUGAUUCCAUGGCUUCAUUGUUGCAAUAGACGCUUUGCGCUGCUAAAAAAAUUAAUGAAGGAAAAGAAUUAACAAACAAGCUAAGGGAAGUAAACAAAAAUAAAAAGCUACUGAAAAAAAAAACUUACAUUUAUCAGAGCACCAUUUGCUUUAACCAUUACAGGUAUUCCUCCUCGACCUUUAUGGUGGGAAUAUGAGCAAUUUUUGGCCAGUAAUCCCCCUUCUCGAAUUCUAUACGUGGUUUGAGCAAUGGGCAGUUGUGAAUAGAUAGUCUAGAGAUGGAAGAGGGCAUCCCUUUUACUGGAAAGGAUUGGAGAUUAGGGCAAGUCCAGAUGGACAGCUUAGAGAGGGAAGAGGGCAGUGCUGAUUCUGCAAGAGGGCAAUCCCAUAUAUUCAGCACAGAAAGGGAGGAGGGAAGCGCUGAUUCUGGAAGAGAUUGAAGUUGAUAGCAGGAGUUGAUCUCUAGAAAUCGAAGGGAAGUGAGGUGCCUAAGACCUUCGGUUGGUAAUGAAUGGAGCUCAUGAUGCCGAUAUAAAUAUAACUCAGAAAGAGAUGAGGGAAGCCCUUCUUCCAGCAGUGACCGAAUUUGAGGUAAAUUAACAAUAAAUAGAGAUUCAAGCGAGGUGAGGCGUUUGACAACUUGGCAGCUUAAUGUUUUCAGAUUGUCUACUUCAAGACUUCGAAUAGAGCAAGGCAACUCCCAAUUUUCACCAGCAAGAAUCUCUUCAUCACUACCAUCAUGGUAGAUGGUUAAAUCUGUGAGAAAAGGGAGUCUCUGUAAGUCCCACUCCUUCCGGCAAUUCACCAGUUUCUUGCAAUUGUGGAUCUCAAGAACUUCUAAAUUGCAGGGCAAUCCUCCUUCAGGAAAGGACUCCAUUUCUGGACAAUUUUGGAGUAGCAGUUCCUUAAGAUAUGGAAGGAGUUCCUCCAUACGUUCUGGAAGCGACUUCAGCUUUUCACAGUUGAAAAUAUACAACUUACGCAAUGGCAUCGCCUGAGUCCCGCCUGCCACCAAAAGUAUUUCCAGAUUUUCACAUUCAUUAAUUCUGAGAUGUUCAGUCCCAUUGGGAAUCAAAAGCCUAGUAAGGCUGUGACAACUUUCUACGCUAAAAUAGCGUGCUCUUGGAACCAACUCAGGUGAUAUAUCAUCUAUAGAAUCACAUUCAUCGAGUUCCAGAUUCUCGAGAAACAUGUUACUUCCUCUAGAAAUCAUCUGACUAAUUGACGUCUCCAAUUUCAAUUUCUGACAACGACGCAUCCUUAUUUUCUUCAAUGUACUUGGCAAACUGCUAAAAGGUAAGCAGGUAAGAGAGUCAGAGUGAUCAAUAUAUAAUUCAACUAUCUGCUUCAUUCCCUGAAGUUGGGAUGCAAACAGUUCAGCAUGAUCAAAAAGAACUCCAUCCUUAGGAGAACCAACAACUUCAAACUUUUUUAAACUUGAAAGUUGAAUAGGUGUCUCCAAAAUGAGUUCAGGACAUUUUGAAAUUCUCAAUCUUGUUAGAGAACAAAGAUUUUCAGGAAACUUCCCAAUCAACUUAGGACAAUCAAAAAUUGAAAGGUCCUGAAGUGUAGGGAAAUCUCCAUUGCCUAGAACAUGCCAGUGCUUCCACUCCAGCAUCCUUGCAAAUUCAAGCUUCUGAAGAGAGUUAAAAGGCUUCUUGGAGGACAAAUUACCAUAAAAAUCUUCAGCCACCUCCACUAUUCGAUGCAUCCCUCGAAUUGCAAGAAAUUUCAAAGAUGGAAGUUGUCCUAGUGCUGGAAGGGAAUCACAAUUCUUGCAAUUGCUAAGAGACAAUUCCACCAGUUUAAGAAACGAAUGAUCAGCGAUCCAGUUUGGAAACUUUGUCCCUCCAUAUCCGGUAAUUUGGAGUUCUUUUAUGUUCCGAUUUGGAUGUAGCUCAUCAAGUAUGUCUCUUUCAUCUUGAGAACUGUCAGCAAUACUUUUUUCACUCCACUCCAACGAUAACUUUUCAACAUGAUUCUUGUCCCUCAUGUUUGCCUUCACAGCUUCCCUUCUAUCAAUCACAUUUUGCAACUCUAGGAUUGAUAGAGAUCCAUACAAGUUAUGCAGCUUAUCCAUACCUCCGAUUCUUGAACCACUGCAACCACCUAGAAGAAAUUUAGCUCCCACUAACACGUGGAGGCUUUUAAACUUGCUUGGAAGUAGCGGUAGCUUCAAGCGAGAAGCGUUGCUAAUGUCAAGGUAACGCAAGUUGAUCAACUUUUCCAUUUGCAAUGGUAACUCCUCAAGAUAAUAACAAGAUGACAAGAGAAAUGUCUCUAAGUUGUACAAUACACAAAUCGAAUCUGGUAACUUUCUUAUCUUUGUCAGGGAAAGGUCCAAAAAUUUCAGGAGCUUCAAUUCGAUUAACAAGACAUUCGGCAACUCCUCAAUCUCAUAGCAAGCCAAUGAUAAUGCCCUUAAGGAUGUUAGACUUGGCAAUAUGUUAUGCAACACCCUCUUGCUUAAAGGAAAUGAAUUAUCGAGCUCAAAACUUAUUGGAAGCAAUGUUCUCAGCUGCUUCAAUUUGUGUAGGGGUUUCAAUUUCUCAAAGUCACCAUAUCCCAUUGAAUAUGAUAGGUGUCGACUUUUUUCCAAUAUAUGAGAUCCUUCGUUAUCUUCCAGAUUGAUACAAAGUUUUGAAGAUGCCAUUUGGGCCAAAUCAUUGACAAGGUCAUGCAUUAAGAAUACCUCUACCUUCCUUUUAGAAGACUCUUGGACCCUUUCGAACAACGAUCUUGAUCGCAACUCGAGAAAGUAUUGGUUGCCUAAAUCUUCAAUUGUUUCAUCUUUUUGCAACUGUUGUACGAGACCAUUAGCAAUCCAGAGUUGAAUGAUUUGUUCUUUGCAAAAUGGAUAAUCUUUGGGAAAUAUUGCACAAUAGGAAAAACAUUGCUUCAAAUGCACGGGAAGAUCAUUGUAGCUCAGCAUCAACGCUGGUAAUAUGCUGUUAUCUGGCAGUUCCCAUAUUUCGCUUCUCAAAACACGUCUCCACUCUUCAACCUCUGAUUUGGAGCGCAACAAACCAGCAAGUGUCUUUAGUGCUAAAGGCAAUCCUUUGCACUUAAUUGCAAUUUGUUUUCCUAUCUCUUCAAGUUCUGGAUUUUCCUUAGGAUCCCUAUUUUCAAAUGCAUGUCUUUUGAAUAAAGGCCAAGAGACUUCAGUAGACAGAGUUCCCACGUUAAUUAGCCCACUACCCAUCAUCAAGGCAACACUCUCCUUACGUGUCGUCACAAUGAUCAUACUUCCAUUUUCUCCUUGUGCAAAAGGAUUUCUCAAGUCAUACCAAUCAUUGUAGUUGUCAUUCCAAACAUCAUCUAAAACAAUAAGGAACUUUUUCCCCUUUAAGCUUUCCAUCAAUUUGAUCUGAAGCUGAUUAAGAUUGUUGUCAACCAUCAAGUCGGAUGAACCAAUUUCUUGAAGUAACCCUUUUGUUAUUCUAAAAACAUCAUAUGGUUCAGACACACAGAUCCAAGAUUUCAACUUAAAAUGUUGUUUCACCUUCUCAUCAUUGUAAACAACUUUAGCAAGUGUUGUCUUGCCAACACCCGCCAUUCCAAUAAUAGGAAUUACAGUCAACUUUUUUUCUUUUGCAUCAUCAGACAAUAAACGGUCAACCAAUAUAUUUAUUUCAUUCUGCCUACCAAAGAUGUCAGAUUCAUCAACCACAGAAGUUGAAAGUCUUCUAGUUUCUUGUUUACCCGAGUCAAGAUGGUCAUUUAGGCCAAGGCAGCCAAUUUGCUUUUGCAACUCCUCCAAUGUUUCAAUGGUAUCUACCAACUUCUCCUUUAUGUAAAGAAAAAAUUUAUCACUCAAGCACAAGUUGAGGUCACUUCCCUGUUGGUUGUUUGUUUCUGAAAAAGUUUUAUACUGACCUUCCACCUUAACUCUCAGAACUUCAUAAUUGAUUUCUUCCAUUAAGUUUUCAGCACUGUCCACAGCAUCCCGAAGUUCAUUAAGCCACUCACUCACAUUUGGAUUUGAUGCCUGCUUAUUCUCUGCAUCAUUUAGCACAAUCUUAAGACCACGCAAAGUCCUCCUCAGCUUCUUUAACAGCAAAACAUCAUGCUUGCCCCUUCGAAACAUCUUCAGAAGCUCACCUUGAGGAGCAAGCCUAUCAAAGAGAACUUGCAGAACUGAAGAGAGAAAUGCACCACCAAAUGUUAAGCCAAUAUCCAUUUCUAAAAGCUGCAACGCAAAAGAGGCAACCACAAACUGAUCAAGAACUUGCUUGCCUGUUUCUAUCUUAAAAUUAAUCUUAGUUUUACUUGUUCAAUGCUAAGAGUAAUAUACAAACGAGAAUGAUCAGAGUACACUAACUUGUUGAAUGACCUUAUCUUUUUCUCUUUUGCUAGUGGCCUUAAUUACCUGUAAUUCCUACAACUAUGUUUGCUAUUAACAUAGUGUAGUUCACAGUCAUAGGAAGAAGAAAAAACAGAACUGUCCUUUUCUCUUUUCAAAGAGUAUGACUUUUCACCCAACAAAAGAACAAAGACUUCAUAAUGGGGUCUUGGUUCUUGAAUAUUCAUUCCUUUCUGAAUUCUGAGCUGAAAAUUUGAGGCCAUAGAUGAAGGGUAGUUGGGAGUGUAGAAAGGGACUGAAAUAAAUGAGCCUAAAAUGAUAAAUUUCUGUAGGGCAUGGUUUGGUGUGCCAUUUGCUUCAUGCAGAGGCGGAGCUAGGAUUCGAAGUGUAUGGGUUCUAAAUUACAAAUACAAAAAAGUCACUGGGUUUUCUUCUACUGUAGCAGUAGCUCUACUGUAGCUCCGCCCCUGACUACAUAUUAAAGUUUUCUUCUUAAUAAGGGCAUAAGACCACUCCAUGUGAAUGCAAGUUAGUCUCACUAAGAAACUAAAAACAAGAAAGUAGGACAACAACCACAUACCUUGUCUGUCGUCAGACUCCAAGUUUGAGCUUUUGGAAAGAACCAAAGCACAAAUUGAUAAAGAGAAUGAAGUUCAAAAUGUGGGACAACCCUAGAAUCAAAGAUUAAAAAUCAGAUUUCGUAUAAAUUGUAAAAUAUAAAAUAUAAGAGGAAAACAUGAAGAAAAUAAAUCAGGAAAGAAGAAUUGAAGAAGGAAAAAGGAUCUAACUUCUAAGGGAGAAAGAGCUUACACUGCGAGAGUUGGAAGGCCUCCGGCUCCGGCAAAUUGUGGUAGCACGCCGACGAUCAACAACCUUAGACUUUUUGUUUUGGGAGUUGAGAAGAUUAGAAGAAACAGCCUUAUGGUUUAUUUAUUAAAAAGAAUAAAUGGAGUAGUUUAAGGAAGGCAAAGUGUUGUUGUUUGGACUUUGAAGUUGUUUUGGG
rnacentral:lncRNA from 1 species